rnacentral:lncRNA from 1 species
AGUCCACCAUUUAAGUUGGACUUCCUUUGGUGUUUCGUCAUAGUGAUAGUAAGGACCCCUAAAUUUUGACCUAAUUGCAUGCCCAAUUGCCUUAGUAGCACAAUGAUUAGGUGCCCAUCUACAAAACAUGCAAACCAAAAUGUUAAACAUGAAGUAUAACAAAAAAUUCAUAAUAAAGUUCAAUGUGAUCAUAAACUUACCCUUUACCCACUGGUCGAAUGAUGACUCUCCCAUUACCAUCAUGUUCUUCAUCAGGGAUAUCAUGGUGCGUAGUAGGCGUGGGUUGUACUGGCGUAUCAGAGGAGGGUUGCACUGAUGCCUGAGUGGGUUGAACUGAUGUAUGAGUGGGCUGAACUAGAAUUUGAGGAGUCACAGGAACGGAUGGAGCACUAGAGAAAUGAAC